CUUUAUUUAGUGUAGCUAGAGAGGAUCGCUAUUAAAAUUGAUAAACUUUGGCAGAUGUUUAUCAAUUUCUUUAGCUUGAAGAGAUGGUAAACUGUGAUAACUGCACACAAGGUUAUGUGCUCGUCCUUUUCUUUCAAACCGUUGUCGUGAUGAUCUCGGUUACCUUGCAGUGCUGUGCUGUUAAAUCAUCCAACAGGGAGUGAUGUAACAUCAGACAUGUGCAGAACCUGCUUGAGUGGCACCCGAAAUUGCUGUGCUGGUUUGCGGGGAUGAGUCAUAGGAGGAAGUCUCUAGAAGAGUAUUGCACAAAGCAUAAAGGAUCUGAGACAUGGUGCAAAACAGAGAAGAAAGUCUGGGGUCAGUUUGUCUGUCCCCUCACUACAGAAGUGAGCUGCAUUGCCAUUAACAAAACAGGUACAAAUCCUACUUUUUCUGAUUGAAGGAAACCAAAGACCAAUGUGUUCUGAGUGACAUCAAAUAGGAAGCAAUCAGUUAUAUCUUUACAGUUUUGGAGACAAAUAUUGAAAUGAUCAUGAAUAUGAAUCUCCUGAGAAGUUUCUUUGUAAAACGUCUAUCAAUGCAAAGCAACGGAUCAGUUUCUGCAAGACAGGAUAUUUAAAAAAAGCCCUAUAAAACGUUAGUGCAGCUUUUUAAUGUGAUGGUGAGAAAACUGAGGCUGGCUUUAAUUUCUACCUGACAAGAAGGAUAUCACAGAACAAAGAGAUUGCUGUAUUUCUGGCAAAACGUGCAGCAGUCAUUUUCAGAACCUGAUACCUGGUGUUAGCAGAGCUAUUUGGGUCUGAAGUGUGUGUGGAUAUUGAGAGUAUGCUCAGCUCACUCUGGAAAGUUGAGGACAGAAGAGAAUUCCAUCUUUUUUACAAGCACUUCAGACAGCUGAAUGUGCUUUACUUCCACAAAGACAUUACCUGCAUGCAACCUGAGCAAUUGCAAGAAUAAUGAUUCCUGCAGUCACAGCAAGGGUCUUUUUCUGAAUUGUUUUCGUGUCAGUCAAGAUUAAGCAAAUAGCAAAUAAUUAAGAAAAUGUUUGCAGAAAACCGAAAUAAAAUUUAUAAAAACCUCUUGCUUUAGCUUGCU
rnacentral:lncRNA from 1 species